rnacentral:lncRNA from 1 species
AUGGGGUUUCUAUGGGGCUCUAUGAGGCUCUAUGGAGUCUCUAUGGAGCUCUAUGGGGUCUCUAUGGAGUCUCUAUGGGUCUCUAUGGGGUCUCUAUGGGGCCCAAUGAGGGUCUAUGGGGUCUCUAUGGGCCACUAUGGGGUCACUAUGGGUCCCUGUUGGUCUCUAUGGGGUCACUAUCGGGUUCCUAUGGGUCUCUAUGGGGCUCAAUGGAGCUCUAUGGGGACUGUUUAGGGUCUCUAUGGGCCUCUAUGGGGCUCAGUGAGGUUCUAUGGGAUCUUUAUGGGUCACUAUGGGGUCUCUAUGGGUCCCUAUUUGUCUCUUUGGGGUCACUAUGGGGUUCUUAUGGGUCUCUAAGGGGCUCAAUGGGGCUCUAUAGGGCUCUAGGAGAUCUAUGGGUCCCUAUGGGUCUCUAUGGGGUCCCUAUGAAUCUCUUUGCGGUCUCUAUGGGGUCCCUAUGGGGCUCAAUGGGGCGCCCCACCGAAGCCCGCCAUUCCCCCUCAGGGCGCCGCCAUGACACCGCGCCGCACUUCCGGCUGAGACCGGAAGUAGGCCGCAGAACGGCAAAAAAAAAAAAAAGAAAAAAAGAAAAAAAGAAAAAAAAGAAAACCGGCGGGGACGGGGUUGGGGGGGAUGGAGAAAUACUUUAUGUCCAAAAAUCGGUUGCUCACCGUGGACGAGAUCCCGCCGAGGCGCAGCGGUUCGAUGAGGGUGGUGGGGGGGGGCGGGGGCCGCUUCUCUGGUGGAGCCCCAGCGCCGCCGCCGCUUCCGCCUUCAGGCGGUCCCCGCUUUGCUCCAGCGCCGGACAUCACCCUUCCCGAAAGGGGUUUUUUGAAGAGAAAAAUGAGGAAUUUUUUAUUUGUAGGAAAAAUAAUCGCGUUUUGAGAGAGCGCGAAGAGAACCCGGCGCCUCAGGGCCGCGGGGAGCGGCACUGCGCAUGCGCGGGGGGCGGCCGUUGGGUUCUGCGCAUGCGCUGCUCUGGCGGAAAGCGGAACUGCGCAUGCGCGUGGGGCGGCCGUUGGGUUCUGCGCAUGCGCUGCUCUGGCGGAAAGGGGAACUGCGCUGUUUUUGUUGUUGCGCGCAUGCGCGGAUGUCUCCAUGGGAACGGGCGGAGGAGGUGCUCUUAAAGCGGCGAUGGGGAAUUAAGUGGGGACCACAUGGCUUUUAAAAGGGCGAUGAUUACUGGAUGGAAGGGUCUUCUCAGUCCCAUAGAGACCCCUUCAGCCCCAUAGGAAAACCCAUAGAGAUCCCUUCAGCCCCAUAGGAAAACCCAUAGAGACCCCUUCAGCCCCAUAGGAAAACCCAUAGAGACCCCUUCAGCCCCAUAGGAACACCCCCGACCCCAUAGAGACCCCUUCAGUCCCAUAGGAAAACCCA